rnacentral:misc_RNA from 1 species
GAUGAAGAACGCAGCGAAAUGCGAUACUUGGUGUGAAUUGCAGAAUCCCGUAAACCAUCGAGUCUUUGAACGCAAGUUGCGCCCGAAGCCAUUAGGCCGAGGGCACGCCUGCCUGGGCGUCACACGUCGUUGCCCCCCCAUCUACUCCUUCGGGAUUGCGGGGGGCGGAUGAUGGCCUCCCGUGCGCCUCGUCGCGCGGUUGGCAUAAAUGCCAAGUCCUCGGCGACGCACGCCACGACAAUCGGUGGUUGCGAAACCUCGGUUGCCCGUCGUGUGCGGUCGUCGCGCAUCGAGGGCUCGAAAAAAUUGUCGGGCUCCGGCUCGGCUUUCAACGCGACCCCAGGUCAGGCGGGGUUACCCGCUGAAUUUAAGCAUAUCAAUAAGCGGAGGA